rnacentral:rRNA from 1 species
GACCAACCCUUAAAGACUGCUGCAUCUUCAGGAUAUUCUAGUCCAACAUCGAGGUCACAAACUUUCUUUUCGAUAGGGACUCUCAAAGAAAAUUAUGCUGUUAUCCCUAUGGUAACUAAUUUCAUUAAUCAGAAUUUCUGGAUCAAAACUUGUGGGUAUAAAAGUAGUAAAGAAGCUUUGUUUGUUCCUUAGUCGCCCCAACCAAAAUUUAAAAUAGAUUAAUAUUUAGGUCUAUAUAUUAUUUUCUAUUUGUUUCUUUAAAGCUCAAUAGGGUCUUCUUGUCUAUCAAUAAAAUUUAGGUUUCUUCACCUAAAAAUCAAAUUCUAGAAAUUUAUAUAGAGACAGUUUUGCUCACGUCAAACCAUUCAUACUAGCCCUCAAUUAUAGGGCAAAUGAUUAUGCUACCUUUGCACGGUCAGAGUACCGCGGCCGUUGAAAACUUAAUUCACUGGGCAGGUCCGACUCC